UACGUAGGGAGCAAGCGUUGUCCGGAAUCAUUGGGCGUAAAGCGCGCGUAGGCGGCCCUGUAAGUCCGUUGUGAAAGUCAAAGGCUCAACCUUUGAAAGCCGAUGGAUACUGCAGGGCUAGAGUUCGGAAGAGGCGAGUGGAAUUCCUGGUGUAGCGGUGGAAUGCGCAGAUAUCAGGAGGAACACCAAUAGCGAAGGCAGCACUCUGGGACGUGACUGACGCUGAGACGCGAAAGCGUGGGGAGCAAACAGG
rnacentral:rRNA from 1 species